rnacentral:lncRNA from 1 species
AAAAAAAAAAAAAAAAAAGGAAGAGAGAAAACCUAGCCUGACUUUGCCUCUUGGAAAGCUUUAGGUUGCAGCCCUGCCUUCCAAGCAUUCUUUAAACUAGAAAUGUGGGAGGGACUCCAGGGGAGAGAGAGGAGAGGAGAGAGAUGGCUAUCAACUGAAUUCAUUACUGUAAACAUCUCCCUGGGGUGUCAGGCAAGGAGGAAAAAAAGGCACGACUCACAUUAGCAGGGAAUAGUCAGAUCUGAGGCAUCAUUACUGCUAAGAUCAGCCUGCAACGCCGGUUGAAGGCAGGCGCGGCACUCGAAGGGAGCUAGCCGCACGCAUUCACACAUACACUCACAUCUAUGUGCUCGAUGCCUCCUCCGACGUCCAAGGGUCCUGGGUCUCCGUGCCAGCUCCUCAUGUGAUCCUCUCAUCAUUUCUAGAGGACAGAGAGAAGGGGGGCGGGGGGAAAAAAGAAAGCAACGUCCUCGCAGCCCCUUCUCGUUUCUUUUUUACCGGAGAAGGAGGAGCAGCGAGGGAAAGAGGAGCAAAUCGAGGAGAGAAAGUGCGUUGGGGAUGCCAGAGCCGCGGGCUGCGCGCCGUAGGAGGAGGUGGUGGAGAAGGGGGGAGGACGAUGCCGCUGCCUCCUAAGGGAGGAGGGAGGCGCGGGGGCCGCUUCGGAGAGGAGCGGCGGCGGGCAGCGGGCCCCAGGGGCUGGCCAGGAGCGGCAGGCGGCGGCCAGAAGCGAGGAGCAGCGGCGGCAGCGGAAAAGUUUUGGUGUGGGGGGCCAGAAGCGUGGAAGGGGAUUAUGAUCGGUGUCGGCGAGGGAUUCCCAGACGCUGUCAGAAGGUUCUGAGGCAGCCACAGAGGUUUGACUACUGCAUCUGGGACUGCACGCUUGGAGGUCUGCAGCAUGAAAAGUGGUGAAGGUUGCCCUUUGGCCAUUUGGAAGAUUUAUUGGACACUGUAGACCCAGCCAUUGAAGUAGUGCUGGUGAGCAAGAUAGGAGAGAGAUCUAUAAAAUACCUGCUAGUGAGAUAUUAGGUUUUAUUCCUACGUAUUACAAGUUUGUAACUUGGUAGUAUUUUCAGUAAUAUAUUUUAAUUAUUGAAACACGAAUAUUUAUUGAAGCUAAAUUGCAUGGCCUAUGCAAAGCAGGAUGACUGAAGCUUGAAAUUAUGUGGAUGCUCCUCAGCAGUGAAGGGGAGACUAAAAAAACUUUCACCGUUACAACUUCCAGCCAGAUGUUUCAGCCUUUUUAAUAACUUUAAUCAAAGUAUGUGAAAGAAGCAGUUCAGUCUUGAAAAAAUCAAAUUUGAAAUUUUUAUCCAACACUCAAAGCUAGAUAUUAAUUAUGCCAAAAGAAAAUUAAAAUAAAGCCGGUUUGAGAUGACA